rnacentral:rRNA from 1 species
GACGAACGCUGGCGGCGUGCCUAAUACAUGCAAGUAGGACGCAGUUGCGAACGGGUGAGUAACGCGUAGGUAACUACCUAUUAGAGGGGGAUAACUAUUGGAAACGAUAGCUAAUACCGCAUACUCGUAGAUGGACCUGCGUUUGAUUAGCUAGUAGGUCGGGUAAUGGCCUACCUAGGCAACGAUAAAUAGCCGACCUGAGAGGGUGAGCGGCAAACCGGGGACUGAGACACGGCCCAGAAGCCUUCGGGAGGCAGCAGUAGGGAAUAUUCGGCAAUGGGGGGAACCCUGACCGAGCAACGCCGCGUGAGUGAAGAAGGUUUUCGGAUCGUAAAGCUCUGUUGUUAAGGAAGCGGUACUUAACCAGAAAGGGACGGCUAACUACGUGCCAGCAGCCGCGGUAAUUC